AAUAAGUACAGUUUUGCGCUGUUUAUGUCCAACGUUUGACCGUUUGUCUUAUUUGAAUUUUUUAUUAGUAUUUUUAUGUUAUUAAAUGAUAAAACAAGAAUAGUACUUUAUGUGUGACUAAUUUUUUUAAAAAAAUUAUAUUUUUUCAAAUAAGACGAACAAUCAAACGUUGAACACGGAUACUCACGGCUGCACUUAUU
rfam:Oryza sativa Japonica Group DNA, chromosome 1, cultivar: Nipponbare, complete sequence.